GACCCCUCCCCCGUGGGGAUCACGGAGAGGGGGGUGUAGGUGGAGGCAGUCUUUGUUGUUACUCUGAACCUAUCUGUGGCCCAUAAGACCCCUUCCUCUUCUCAAUCCCAUUGACUCCCAAGAAGGGUGCCAACAGUGGGACUUUGAAACGCAAGUUUUCUAGCUUUCUGAACACUUCUCAUUUGAUGCAAGAAGCUACGUUCUUAUGUAUCACACCUUGGCAGGUAAUGGGUUAAUUUUCCCAACGACUUACCGCUCCUCAUGGUGGAAAGGGUCAUUUCCAGCGGCUAACCCCAUUCCUGUCCGAAGGCCAUGAUACUGUUAGACAGAAGACGCAGGUUUUCCCACACUCCUGAAAUGGGCAAAGGCAAAGGAUACACAUUUAAAGGGUUAUAUGGGAGUUGGAAGUUAUUUCUAACCCUAAGUAAGAGAUAAGUCUGGGACUUCAAUACAAGGCCCCCAGAUGUGGUAGUGACAAGUCUAAAGGACUUGAAUUCUCAGUACUUCGUCCUAACAUUGGCUGGCAGUUGUAUCAAUUUCCUCACCUGUGAAAGGGAAAUUCGUUUCUUAUGCUCUGAACAGUGGACAUUUCCAAGAAGCACCAUGCCAUAGUGUGUUAAUACAGAGUUCUGGACUGCAGUCAGGAAGACCUGGGGUCAAAUCCUAGCCCCUUACACUUAGCUGGGCCAUCCAGCUUCUAAGACUUGGAGCCACUCUCUAAAACACCGAAAAUAUUACCUGGGUUGUGAUCGACAUCUCCAAGCUGGAAAGAAAACACUGUGCUUGGAAUCCUAGAACCUGAAAUCAGUCGUGCUGCUGACAUUAUUUGUAUGAUCUGGGGUGAUGAUGAUAAUAG